ACCCCAAAACAAAAUUUAAAAGGAGCAUUACCUGGCUGGGUCUAAGCUCCAUAUAACUUGCUUGCAGAUGAUUUUGACUUGGACGCUGAAGAAAUGAUACCCUUUGCUGCUCUGAGCCAUACCCCAGGCACUGGCCCAGGGCUGUCCCAAAGAUCCACAACCAUCCUGUGCUCCAAGCUGACCACCUCACUGCAGGCGGCAUUCUGAUCCCUGCGUGUCCUGCCUGGCUGCGUGCAAACCUCUGUGUUCUUCCUCUUAUAGCUGCCCUUCCUGCAGUGCCUGGGCCUGCCUGACUCAGGAAAGAAGGCUGUCUGCGGCAGGGGCCCCACCUUUAAACUUCACACAUGAGUCAGCCUACACAGGCAGAGAGCACAUAACAGUCCCACAGGGCAUAUGUGUGUCAGAGCAUGUGUGUCAGAGCACACAUGGAGCUCAGGGGACAACUUGGAGGAGCCGGUCCUCUCCUUCCCACAUGAAAACUCCUGGUAUCGAACUUGGGUCCUCAGGUUUGCUUGUAGAUGCCUUUGCCUGCUGAGCCGUUUUUUCAGUCCUCCUUCAAUGCCCCGCCCACUUCAGCUUUUAUGUUACUGGGGGCCCCUUGCAUGGGAUGGAUGGAACCUGGGAAGUUCUCUGCCUUUGCUUUCUGCAUGUGGAUUACAACACACUUGUAUAAACCCCUUCCAUCUAUUGUAUUUAGGGCUUGAGGGUUUGGAGCUGAUACAUUAGUGAUCAUCAUCAGGUUUGGGAAGUGACUGCUUCUUCAAAUGUUUUCCUUUCUCUUUCUGGAGUCUCCAUUAUACAUUGGGACACUUGAGCUCCUUCAAACUCACAUCUGCCUCCAAAAGACGGUAUGAACCAAACCGUGUGAGCACUGAACACUCUCACUCUACAGUCUUAUCAGAUCCAGUGGUGGAGUUGUGCACUUUGGUAGCCAGUUGAAACAAGAAGUUUAGUCUGUCAUGGUUCUAGAAGCUCCAAGCCCCACAUCAAGGUGCUGGCUGCACCAGCUGCAUCAGGAGGGUCUCUUCCUGGUUUGUAGAUGACACACAUGACCGAGAGAAAGCAACUUCUCUG
rnacentral:lncRNA from 1 species